GGUGGCUAACUGGUAAAGUGCUUGCCUUGCAUGCAUGAGGCCCUGAGUUCAAUUCCUCAGCACCA
rnacentral:tRNA from 1 species